CACCCAUAUCCAAGGUAACCAUUGUUGUCUAGGUAGUACACUACCAAGCAAAUAUAAGACACAGUAACUCCACUGAUGGUCAAAUUUUUUAUGUUAUAUUGAGUGAAAUUGAGUCCUUUGACUAUGAUGUGUUCUAUGAAAGAACCCGUGAUCUUUGCGUUGAUAGUGCCUUGCUCUACCCUUUUGCUUCGGGAGUACUGUUGAUGUUGAGUUGUGACAUUGUUUGCUGACAAAUAUCUCUUUAUCUCUGUUCAUAUCCAUCUGUGUAGGAGACCAGGUAUAUAUUCCUGCCAGACCAUGACAGAGAUUAUAUUCUUAUGAAGGCGGCUUCCACACACACAGCAAUUGCUACAGGCCCUGAGCGCAGCAAAAAACCGCCUACAUACUUUGGUAAAGAUGUGACGGUAGAAAAAUUCAAAAUCUACCACCCAGACUUUAUCCGCUACCUCAGAAACAGGUGAGCUUUGCAAACAUAGACUAUGGGAUAAUAUACACUCAGAUAGUAAUUAUUGCAAAAUGAGUUCCAGACAGAGAGCUCAAGAAGCGCAAAGUAGCUAACUGCACAUUAUCCCACUUAUUAAAUGACUGCUUCCAAAUACACUGCUGUUACUAAACUUUGGAGUCAACUUUUUUUUUUUUAUGUCUCUGCACUUAAUUGUUCAACACAGUGAAAAUUGUAAUGUUGUGAAAUAUUUUUACAAUUUGAAAACUGUUUUCUAUUUUGAUAUAAUUUAAAAUGUCAUUGAUUCCUAUGAUGGCAAAGCUGAAUUUUCGACAGCCAUAAAUGCAGUCUUCAGUGUCUCAUGAUCCUUUGGAAAUCAUUCAGAUAUGCUGAUUUGCUGCUCAAGAAACAUUUAUCAUUAUCAAUGUUGAUAACAGUUGCGGUUCUUAAUAUUUUUGUGGAAACCGUGACAGGUAUUUUCAGAAUUCUUUGAUGAAUAGAAAAUAAACAAACAGUUGAAAUUAUAUAAGAAGAACGAUCCCACAGAGUAGUAUAAUGAAACACAUAAAAUUAGCACAGCUACAUUGGAAAUUUGUUGCAUUCAACAGUGGUCAGUAAUACAGUUCAGUGGCCACUAUACAUAAAUAUCUGACCACAGAUUAUCCAGAAGCGGUUGGAUGAUUCAAAGUAUGUUUUUUUAUUUGUUUGGUCUCCGAAGUUUAACCCUUUCCUUUUCCUCAUAAAGGUUCCUGCAUUCCAAACUUCUGAAAACAGGCGCAAGAAGAAUUUACAGGCCGUCCACAGGAGCAGUAAUGCUCCUAGCUGCUAUUCAUACAUGUGACCUAGGUUUGCUUUGUUAUUUUUU
rnacentral:lncRNA from 1 species